rnacentral:lncRNA from 1 species
CUCCUCCGGCGUCCUGCGCCAAGCCUCCUCCGACUCGGGGGCGCCACCGCGAGCCUCCUCCGACUCGGGCGCCGCGAGCCGCCCUACCGGGAGCAGCGCCGGUGUCCUUCCGACUCUCCUGCUCGACAACGCCAUCGCCUAGGGUAUUUUUUUUCUUUGCCUGUCUCAAUCCUAUACCAUGCGGUCUGUGAACUUCAGAAGCAUAUGUGCAGAUCAAUUAGUGUAAUUAGUGUAAUUAGUGUAUUCACUAUGGGAUCCAUGGCCGCCCUCCCUCCCAGAUCCACCAGGCCACGCUCCUCCCGUGGGAUCCAUGGCGCGGGUCACCCUACAACAGCUGAUCUGUGACGAGCGAGACAGGGAAGAGGUGUUCCUUCUCAUGGUCUGCAGUGCAUCUCGCAUUCCA